UGGGGAAUAUUGCACAAUGGGCGAAAGCCUGAUGCAGCCAUGCCGCGUGUAUGAAGAAGGCCUUCGGGGUGUAAAGUACUUUCAGCGGGGAGGAAGGGAGUAAAGUUAAUACCUUUGCUCAUUGACGUUACCCGCAGAAGAAGCACCGGCUAACUCCGUGCCAGCAGCCGCGGUAAUACGAAGGGUGCAAGCGUUAAUCGGAAUUACUGUGCGUAAAGCGCACGCAGGCGGUUUGUUAAGUCAGAUGUGAAAUCCCCGGGCUCAACCUGGGAACUGCAUCUGAUACUGGCAAGCUUGAGUCUCGUAGAGGGGGGUAGAAUUCCAGGUGUAGCGGUGAAAUGCGUAGAGAUCUGGGGGAAUACCGGUGGCGAAGGCGGCCCCCUGGACGAAGACUGACGCUCAGGUGCGAAAGCGUGGGGAGCAAACAGG
rnacentral:rRNA from 1 species